rnacentral:rRNA from 1 species
UACGUAGGGCGCAAGCGUUGUCCGGAAUUAUUGGGCGUAAAGAGCUCGUAGGCGGUCUGUCGCGUCUGCCGUGAAAACCCGAGGCUUAACCUCGGGCUGGCGGUGGAUACGGGCAGACUAGAGGUAGGUAGGGGAGAAUGGAAUUCCCGGUGUAGCGGUGAAAUGCGCAGAUAUCAGGAGGAACACCGGUGGCGAAGGCGGAUCUCUGGGCCAUUACUGACGCUGAGGAGCGAAAGCGUGGGGAGCGAACAGG